UAGGGAACCUUCGGCAAUGGGGGCAACCCUGACCGAGCAACGCCGCGUGAGUGAAGAAGGUUUUCGGAUCGUAAAGCUCUGUUGUAAGAGAAGAACGUGUGUGAGAGUGGAAAGUUCACACAGUGACGGUAACUUACCAGAAAGGGACGGCUAACUACGUGCCAGCAGCCGCGGUAAUACGUAGGUCCCGAGCGUUGUCCGGAUUUAUUGGGCGUAAAGCGAGCGCAGGCGGUUUAAUAAGUCUGAAGUUAAAGGCAGUGGCUUAACCAUUGUUCGCUUUGGAAACUGUUAAACUUGAGUGCAGAAGGGGAGAGUGGAAUUCCAUGUGUAGCGGUGAAAUGCGUAGAUAUAUGGAGGAACACCGGUGGCGAAAGCGGCUCUCUGGUCUGUAACUGACGCUGAGGCUCGAAAGCGUGGGGAGCAAACAGG
rnacentral:rRNA from 1 species